AAGCUUUCGCGGUAUGGGAUGGGGUCGCGUCCUAUCAGCUUGACGGCGGGGUAACGGCCCACCGUGGCUUCGACGGGUAGCCGGCCUGAGAGGGCGACCGGCCACAUUGGGACUGAGAUACGGCCCAGACUCCUACGGGAGGCAGCAGUGGGGAAUAUUGCACAAUGGGCGCAAGCCUGAUGCAGCGACGCCGCGUGAGGGAUGGAGGCCUUCGGGUUGUAAACCUCUUUUAUCGGGGAGCAAGCGAGAGUGAGUUUACCCGUUGAAUAAGCACCGGCUAACUACGUGCCAGCAGCCGCGGUAAUACGUAGGGUGCAAGCGUUAUCCGGAAUUAUUGGGCGUAAAGGGCUCGUAGGCGGUUCGUCGCGUCCGGUGUGAAAGUCCAUCGCUUAACGGUGGAUCCGCGCCGGGUACGGGCGGGCUUGAGUGCGGUAGGGGAGACUGGAAUUCCCGGUGUAACGGUGG
rnacentral:rRNA from 1 species